rnacentral:lncRNA from 1 species
AUUUGAAAAAAAAAAAGAUUUUACGCAUGAAUACAUGUACCUUUAUUUUACCGACUUUAAUUUUCAAUAAAAUCGACACUAUUUUCACGGGGACCGCAUUUUUUCUAAACUGCAACAUAAACAAUGAUUUCAAUGUAUCCGUUAGCUUCAAAUGAAAACAGGAUAAAGGAUACUUAUACGUAUACUUUUGUAUCUGUAUAGUAAGAUAGUCGACUGCAGGACACAAGUCCUUAUUCAAGCACCCGGGAAAAAAACCACAUUUGCCUCAGCCGACAAAGCACGGUUACGUUUAAAUAGAGUAAGUCAUGGACAUUUCGUUUAAAGUUGUUAAUCGAAUAUUCU